rnacentral:lncRNA from 1 species
UUUCUGUGGUUGGAUAGUUUGGAAAUUUAAGAAUGUCGUUUGAGCAAUAUUUUGAAAUUGAAACCAGAAAAGGACUUCAAAGCACCAAUGGUCAAGCCACUGAACUGACUGUGCACACAUUCUUGGCUUAGUUACCUGCAAAGUACCUGGAAGUUGCAGUUAGUAACAAAUUCAGCUUCUGCAGAAUCAUGCAAAGGGGAGUGUCUC